rnacentral:rRNA from 1 species
GAUGAACGCUGGCGGCGUGCCUAAUACAUGCAAGUCGAGCGAACGGACGAGAAGCUUGCCUCUCUGAUGUUAGCGGCGGACGGGUGAGUAACACGUGGAUAACCUACCUAUAAGACUGGGAUAACUUCGGGAAACCGGAGCUAAUACCGGAUAAUAUUUUGAACCGCAUGGUUCAAAAGUGAAAGACGGUCUUGCUGUCACUUAUAGAUGGAUCCGCGCUGCAUUAGCUAGUUGGUAAGGUAACGGCUUACCAAGGCAACGAUGCAUAGCCGACCUGAGAGGGUGAUCGGCCACACUGGAACUGAGACACGGUCCAGACCCCUACGGGAGGCAGCAGUAGGGAAUCUUCCGCAAUGGGCGAAAGCCUGACGGAGCAACGCCGCGUGAGUGAUGAAGGUCUUCGGAUCGUAAAACUCUGUUAUUAGGGAAGAACAUAUGAGUAAGUAACUGUGCACAUCUUGACGGUACCUAAUCAGAAAGCCACGGCUAACUACGUG